rnacentral:ncRNA from 2 species
AUGAUCAAUAUUAGAGAGAAUGGUUUAAUCCAUCGCCGAAGGAGCAAGUAAUUUAAAUUAUGAAUCUCUCAGGCAAAAGGAUAAUAUUGUGACG